rnacentral:tRNA from 1 species
AAGAUUUUAAGUUAAAGAAACUAUUAACCUUCAAAGUUAAAAUUAAAAACAUAUUUAAAUCUUA